AGGCUUGUAUCUCAGGUGGUUAGAGCGCACCCCUGAUAAGGGUGAGGUCGGUGGUUCAAGUCCACUCACGCCUA
rnacentral:tRNA from 1 species